rnacentral:lncRNA from 1 species
UAUACAACAUAUUCGUAAUUCCUCCAUUAAUAGUUAUAUUCAAACAGUAAACAAUCCCGUCCUACGAAUUCAAAAUUUAUAAUCCGCAUUACACGUCUAAUCCGGCCAAUCAAGCAGUAAAAAAUCCCGUCCUACGAAAUCAAAAUUUGUAAUCCUCAUUACAUAUCUAAUCCGGUCAAUCAAACAGCAGGAAUAGCUCUCAAGCCAUCAACCCAAAGUUUGCUUUUUGAUUAUGCCUUACCAUAGAAGGUAAUCCACAUGCUAAAAUUGUUCAACACCAUGGAUGCACUUGUGAUU